rnacentral:rRNA from 1 species
AUACAGAGGGUGCGAGCGUUAAUCGGAACUACUGGGCGUAAAGCGCGCGUAGGCGGCUUAUUAAGUCAGAUGUGAAAUCCCCGGGCUCAACCUGGGAACUGCAUCUGAUACUGGUAAGCUCGAGUUUUGGAGAGGGAAGUAGAAUUUCAGGUGUAGCGGUGAAAUGCAUAGAGAUCUGAAGGAAUACCAGUGGCGAAGGCGACUUCCUGGCCAAAAACUGACGCUGAGGUGCGAAAGCGUGGGUAGCAAACGGGAUUAGAUACCCCAGUAGUCC